AGGAUGAACGCUAGCGGGAGGCCUAACACAUGCAAGCCGAGCGGGAUUUUGUUGGUUAGCUUGCUAACUGAUAAUGAGAGCGGCGUACGGGUGCGUAACACGUGUGCAACCUGCCUUUAUCUGGGGGAUAGCCUUUCGAAAGGAAGAUUAAUACCCAUAAUAUAUUGAUGGCAUCAAUUAAUAUUGAAAGCUCCGGCGGAUAGAGAUGGGCACGCGUAAGAUUAGCUAGUUGGUGAGGUAACGGCUCACCAAGGCUGCGAUCUUUAGGGGGCCUGAGAGGGUGAUCCCCCACACUGGUACUGAGACACGGACCAGACUCCUACGGGAGGCAGCAGUGAGGAAUAUUGGACAAUGGGUGAGAGCCUGAUCCAGCCAUCCCGCGUGAAGGACUAAGGACCUAUGGUUUGUAAACUUCUUUUAUACAGGGAUAAACCUACUCUCGUGAGGGUAGCUGAAGGUACUGUAUGAAUAAGCACCGGCUAACUCCGUG
rnacentral:rRNA from 1 species